rnacentral:rRNA from 1 species
UACGUAGGGGGCUAGCGUUAUCCGGAAUUACUGGGCGUAAAGGGUGCGUAGGUGGUUUCUUAAGUCAGAGGUGAAAGGCUACGGCUCAACCGUAGUAAGCCUUUGAAACUGGGAAACUUGAGUGCAGGAGAGGAGAGUGGAAUUCCUAGUGUAGCGGUGGAAUGCGUAGAUAUUAGAAGGAACACCAGUGGCGAGGGCGACUUUCUGGACUGUAACUGACGCUGAGGCACGAAAGCGUGGGUAGCGAACAGGAUUAGAUACCCUGGUAGUCCCUGAGCGGG